rnacentral:rRNA from 1 species
AGUGAACGCUGGCGGUAGGCCUAACACAUGCAAGUCGAACGGCAGCACAGGAGAGCUUGCUCUCUGGGUGGCGAGUGGCGGACGGGUGAGGAAUACAUCGGAAUCUACUCUGUCGUGGGGGAUAACGUAGGGAAACUUACGCUAGUACCGCAUACGACCUACGGGUGAAAGCAGGGGAUCUUCGGACCUUGCGCGAUUGAAUGAGCCGAGGUCGGAUUAGCUAGUUGGCGGGGUAAAGGCCCACCAAGGCGACGAUCCGUAGCUGGUCUGAGAGGAUGAUCAGCCACACUGGAACUGAGACACGGUCCAGACUCCUACGGGAGGCAGCAGUGGGGAAUAUUGGACAAUGGGCGCAAGCCUGAUCCAGCCAUACCGCGUGGGUGAAGAAGGCCUUCGGGUUGUAAAGCCCUUUUGUUGGGAAAGAAAUCCAGCUGGCUAAUACCCGGUUGGGAUGACGGUACCCAAAGAAUAAGCACCGGCUAACUUCGUGCCAGCCGCCGCCGUAA